rnacentral:rRNA from 1 species
UACGAAGGUCCCAAGCGUUGUUCGGAAUAACUGGGCGUAAAGCGUGUGUAGGCUGCGCGGAAAGUCAAAUGUGAAAGCCCAGGGCUUAACCCUGGAACUGCAUUCGAUACUCCCGUGCUAGAGUAAUGGAGAGGUAAGUGGAAUUCCUGGUGUAGCAGUGAAAUGCGUAGAUAUCAGGAGGAACAUCAAUGGCGAAGGCA